GAUCACCCUCUCCACAUCACACAGGAGGGAUGAUUGCAGCCUUGUGUCCAUGUCACUGCCUUCGGUCUGGCCGGCUGUAUUUAAAUUUAAGUCAGCUCUACUUUGGACUUCAUAGGGAUUUUUUCAGGAACCACAUCCUUCCCCCAUUCUCUCAAGAUCCCAAUCAAUCCUAUGUCAUCUGAAACAGCUGUAUCUUCUAGGUAGUCUUCAUUUAAGGUACUGCCACUGUUGACAAGUAAACAGUUGACAUUUUCAAAGAUUUCAGUUUGGUCUUGAGAUCCACAGAGCAUGAUAUUAAACCAAAUCGCUGAAACUCACCACAUCCAGUUGCAACCAUAGCGUGUGCAGUUCAAAGCAUUAAACACCAAGGUCAUGCAUGACAUGCUGAAGAAACUUAAAGGAAUAGCAAGCUCAACCAAUAGCAAGUUAUCCACAUAUGAAGUCUGUAUGCCCAGAUAACAGAACAUGCAAGCAAGCAAGCAAACCUGAAUGACACUAUUGGAUAAACGCCAAACAGAUGAAAUAAAGCAUAUAAGAAAAGAAGACUGCACAGAGAGCAGAAAGAUAAAGUAUUUUGCUUUAUGCAACAAUAAGAUAACUUACAAACAUUAAAAAAGCAAAAUCCACAGAAAA